GUGUUGUAUGAAAGGUGAGAAGGUUAGCACUCCCCUUGACAAGAAUGGAAGAGGUCCUCAGGACUGACAACACGCAAAAGGUCAAGGUAUUGCCACCUGCUGUGAGGUAGGAACACAUACUAAU
ensembl:snRNA